UAACGGCCUUGACUGAUACCUAUAUGGCAACCCAGACUAACAGAUGGAUACAGGUACAGACAAAAUGGAUGCAUACCUUGUAUUUCUGUUUAAGGUUUUCCCACUUUUUCUUCACUGAUGCUACCGUCACCUUCCCCUCCAACUCCAUCUCUUUGAUAAACACCCUGUGAAGACAUUCACAAAUUGGAAAACAAGAUCGGAGGAGCCGGAAGCGGUGGUGGGGCUAAAGCAGGAGUUGGAGGUGGCGGUGGAGUUCAAGCAGGAUUUGGAGGCGGCGGUGGAGUUCAAGCAGGAGUUGGAGGUGGCGGUGGAGUUCAAGCAGGAUUUGGAGGUGGCGGUGGAGUUCAAGCAGGAGCUGGAGGUAGCAGCUUUCCCCUCAGAGGGAACGGAGAAGACUGUGUCAUCUGCAGCAGAUGAGGAGCCAACGGUCACACAGGUGAUGCUGUGGCUGAACUCCAAUGCCUCGUCCAUGGCCCUAUACCACGUCCACGUGUCAGCGGUCACCCCACCGUGUGUGCUCCCCCCAUUGGGUUGGUUUUUUAACUCCUGAAAAUGAAAGAAAGGCUACCGUAAGUGUACUGUACAUAGUAAUAAAUAUUUGAUAUCCCCGAGGGGCAAUUUAAUUGAA